UACGUAGGGGGCAAGCGUUAUCCGGAUUUACUGGGUGUAAAGGGAGCGUAGACGGCAGUGCAAGUCUGAAGUGAAAUCCCGGGGCUCAACCCUGGAACUGCUUUGGAAACUGUGCAGCUAGAGUGCAGGAGAGGUAAGCGGAAUUCCUAGUGUAGCGGUGAAAUGCGUAGAUAUUAGGAGGAACACCAGUGGCGAAGGCGGCUUACUGGACUGUAACUGACGUUGAGGCUCGAAAGCGUGGGGAGCAAACAGG
rnacentral:rRNA from 1 species